rnacentral:tRNA from 1 species
CUCCAAGAAGCUCGCGCGAGCACCGGCCUUUUAAGCCGGAGGAGGGCACAUCAUACUACGCCCCUUGAAGA